ensembl:snRNA U1 U1 spliceosomal RNA
AUACUUACCUGGCAGGGGAGAUACCAUGAUCACGAAGGUGGUUUUCCCCAGGGCGAGGCUUAUCCAUUGCACUCCGGAUGUGCUGACCCCUGCGAUUUCCCCAAAUGCGGGGAAACUCGACUGCAUAAUUUGUGGUAGUGGGGGACUGCGUUCGCGCUCUCCCCUG